rnacentral:rRNA from 1 species
ACGGGAGGCAGCAGUGGGGAAUAUUGCACAAUGGGGGAAACCCUGAUGCAGCGACGCCGCGUGAGUGAAGAAGUAUUUCGGUAUGUAAAGCUCUAUCAGCAGGGAAGAAAAUGACGGUACCUGACUAAGAAGCCCCGGCUAACUACGUGCCAGCAGCCGCGGUAAUACGUAGGGGGCAAGCGUUAUCCGGAUUUACUGGGUGUAAAGGGAGCGUAGACGGUAAUGCAAGUCAGAAGUGAAAGCCCAGGGCUCAACCUUGGGACUGCUUUUGAAACUGUAAUACUGGAGUGCAGGAGAGGUAAGUGGAAUUCCUAGUGUAGCGGUGAAAUGCGUAGAUAUUAGGAGGAACACCAGUGGCGAAGGCGGCUUACCGGACUGUAACUGACGUUGAGGCUCGAAAGCGUGGGGAGCAAACAGGAUUAGAUACCCUGGUA